rnacentral:rRNA from 1 species
UACGGAGGGGGCUAGCGUUGUUCGGAAUUACUGGGCGUAAAGCGCGCGUAGGCGGCUUUGUAAGUUAGAGGUGAAAGCCCGGGGCUCAACUCCGGAACUGCCUUUAAGACUGCAUCGCUCGAAUUGUGGAGAGGUAAGUGGAAUUCCGAGUGUAGAGGUGAAAUUCGUAGAUAUUCGGAAGAACACCAGUGGCGAAGGCGACUUACUGGACACAUAUUGACGCUGAGGUGCGAAAGCGUGGGGAGCAAACAGG